UAUAUUUUAUAAAAUCCGAAGCAUGUUUUUUGUAGUUAUUAAAUAUUAUAAUUUAUAAAUAUACAUAUAAACUAAAAUUAUUACGUCAAUUAGACAUGAAGUGCUAUUACGAAGUUUUGAAUGUGGCACGAGAUGCAAAUGAUACCGACAUCAAAAGUGCCUAUCGAAAAUUGGCUUUGAAGUGGCACCCUGACAAAAAUCUGGACAAUGCAGAAGAAGCCAAGGAACAAUUUCAGAUAGUACAGCAAGCUUAUGAGGUUCUAAGUGAUAGACAGGAAAGAGCAUGGUAUGACAACCACCGUGAGCAGAUUCUAAGAGGUUCGAACACUGAGUUUGAAGAUAACUGUUUAGAUGUAUUCCAAUAUUUCACCACGUCCUGUUUCAAGGGAUAUGAUGACUCAGAGAAAGGCUUUUACACAGUGUAUAGGACAGUGUUUGAAAAAAUUGCCAAGGAGGACAUGGAAUUUAUGGAAGACAAGGAAGAGUUUUGUGAGAUACCAAGUUUUGGAAACUCACAGAGUAGUUAUGAAGAAGUGGUUGCGCCCUUUUAUGCUUAUUGGAUGAGCUAUUCCACUAAGAAGACCUAUGUCUGGCUGGAUCCAUACAAUAUUAAUGAAACCAGAGAACGAAGGGUUCUUAAAUUAAUAGAAAAAGAGAACAAGAAAGUUAGGCAAAGAGCAAAAAAAGAAAGAAAUGAAGAAAUCAGAAAUUUAGUUGCCUUUGUCAGAAAAAGGGAUAAACGUGUUCAAAUAUUUAAUAAAUUAAAUGAAGAAAGAAUUCUGGAAAACAGGAAAAAACAGGAAGAAAUAAGUAAACAAAAACGUCUAGAAAGGAUUAAGCAACAUGAAUCAACUGAACAAGCUGAGUGGGCCAAGUUUGAUAAUGUUAAAUCACAAUUGGAACAAAUUGAGAAACAUGUUGCUGAGGAAUUUGGUGAAUCAGGUUCAGAAAAUGAAUUGGAUGAUGAUGACAUCAACAGUUUAUAUUGUCCUGCAUGUAAUAAAUUAUUUAAGACAUUAAAAGCCUUUGAAAACCAUGAAUCUAGUAAGAAGCAUAGGGAAAAUGUUGAAAGACUAAAACAAGAAAUGUUGGAUGAAGAAUACAUGUCUAUAUCUGAUGAAAGUGAAGUCAGUGAUGUUUUAGAAGAUUUAAGUGUAGAGACAGAGGACACAGAACAAAAUAAUGAAAUUAAUCAAGAAAUUUUAGAUAGUGAAGAAAAUGAACAGUCAGAUGUUCAAUCAGAACCUGAAGUCAAAAUUAAAAAUAAGAAAAAGAAUAAGAAGUCUAAAAAUGUUUUAAAUGCUAAUUUGAAUGAUCAAGAGAAAGAAAUUAGUACAAGUGUAAUUGAUUCAGAUGAUGAUUUUGAUUUCAAUUCUAGCAAGAAACAAAAGAAGAAAAACAAAAAGAAUGUGAAACAGAAAGGGCAAGUAGAUUUAAAUGAGAUUAAAAUUGAUGAGGAGAAAGGGGAAGCUGGGAAAACAAAUGGAAAAAAGAAGAAAGAAAAAAAGUCAAAGAAGGAUGACAGUGUCCUAUUUGAACUGGAUAUAAAUCAUUGUUGUGUUACUUGUAAUUCAAAUUUUCCAUCAAAAAAUAAAUUAUUUGAACACUUAAAAAAGACAGGUCAUGGUGUAUACAUUGACAAAAAAGCGGCAAAACAAAAAAAAGGCAAUAUAAAUGAAGUGUAAUUACAUAAAAAUACAAAGGUUUUUCAAGAUCAUAAUUCAGAAUUGUAUUUCAUCUAAAUUAUGUAUAUUUGAAUUGAAUAAGUAGGACUCCCUGAAUUUAUUUAUUGUUCUAAUAAACGAUUAUUAUAAAAACAAAUUGCUUUUUUUUGGUGUUAUUAAAUUAAACAAUUACAUGUAUAAGCAUUUAUUAAAUAUAAAAGUAAAAAAACACAUUUAAAGCAAGAUUGGAUGCAAUAUAUAAAACGUUUUAUAUCAAGCAGUCCUAUAAUGAG